AAUAAAUAAGGAGAUCACACAGAGCCAGCAGGAAUUGUCUAUACAGCUAAGGAGGACGUGGCUUACAGCUGGCAUGUCUAACAGGAGGAGAAAAGUAGCCAGAAAAACAGUAUAAAUUAAAACAACCUUCAUCUCAGGGCUAAAUUCUCCUUUAGCUUCUUUGGGAAUUCCAAAGGAUGAGAUGUGGGGCCUGUAUACUUGCAUUUGAAUACAAUAAAAUUGUACCUUAGGCUGGUGUCAGAAUCUGGGAGGGUAUUGCAAAGAAAGAGGAGUCAUUACUUGCUUUUAUAACAUCUUUUUCAAACAUUUCUGCCUGCCUAUGUCUGGGCACGGGACUCUAUCUGUGACCUGGUCUAAGGCGACUGCCUUACAUCAGUGCGUUUAUAAGGACACAUGGAUUCUGGAGAGAGAUGACUUUUCAAGCGUGUCCCCCCGGCUCGUGAAGAUUUAAUUCAGUUCUGCUGUGGUGGCAGAUGAAGUCAUUUUAAGGGCAAGAUGUUGCCUUGCCUCACACCUACACAGCCUGAAGGAUUCUUCUGUAUCCUCAUGUCUUCUCCAGCCCCUCUGCACAUAAGCUGCAAAUAUUCAGACUUCUUGGCUCACCCUCACCAAUGUGUAACUUAAACCCUCAUCUGUGUGACCCCUGACUUUUGCCUCAAACCUUACAACUUGUAUAUCAUUACCGAGUUCCUGCUCCAUCAUUCCUGGGCCUCCUUUUGACUUUUCCAUCAGAUUCACUGGAGGUGGAGUUCCCAUCUUUUUCCAAUAUUCUUCCACCAAGCGCUCUCAUUCCUGGGGCCGCUCCAUAAUGCAUAAUGCUUCUCUCAUGUUCCUGCCAGGUCAAGAUAAUAUAAGCUGCAGCUCUGCAAAACUGAAGGAAAAUCUUCAGAUAAUCACUGCGAAGGCACAACAGAAGAUGCAGCUGGAUUUCUGCAGGGGAAGCAGCUGUGGGCUCUGUUUCGAACGGGUAGGAUUUGGGAAAAUUCCUAAAGGCUGGGAAUAUGUGUGGCAUUUGUAAAGUACAACAUACCUGGCAGAUACAGAGCUAACAUCAAUGUUUAUUAUACCAAUAACACCUGUGGCCUCCAAGAGCUGAGUGCUCAACAGAAAAGAGACAUUCAGGGGCUUGCUAGUCUGCUGUGACUUGCUUUAGAUGUUAGUUCAAUUCCAGUCUGGUUUGACAGCAGUGAAAAACUGCUAUCUCCUCCCUGCCUGGAAUUAGUAAAAAUAUUUAUGUCAUUUUACAGAAGCCAUGGUUGUCCCUGGUGAUAUCUUGUCAUCAGUGAGGUGGGUGGUGAAGGAGCUGCUUCUUCCUCCAGGUUCACCAAUAGCUGAUUCCCCUUCUAUUAUCUCUGAAGACCUCACAAGCCUUUCAUAUUAUUUGACCAAGGCAUGCCACUUCCAAACUUUGUAGGGUGAUAUCUGACCUGGUAUCUCAGCUGGCAAGCCUGACUUCUUUGCCCUACCUGACCCACCGUCUCCAGAGUAACUUCUUGCAAUGAGAUAAACUCAGAGUAACUUAUUGCAGUGGGAUCUACAUAAAGAGAUGCAGAUUCCUCAAGUCAAAGCAAGGGAUGGCUUGUUACGUAGUGACCUUUCAGUCACUUACUUAUUGAUUGCACAGAAUCCAAAGCGUGUCCAUAAUUUUAUGCUAACUUGAUGCCUGAG
rnacentral:lncRNA from 1 species